UACGGAGGGUGCGAGCGUUGUUCGGAAUCACUGGGCGUAAAGCGCGUGUAGGCGGCCCAUUAAGUCUGAUGUGAAAGCCCGGGGCUCACCCCCCGGAAGUGCAUUGGAAACUGAUGGACUCGAGUCCCGGAGAGGGGAGUGGAAUUCCUGGUGUAGCGGUGAAAUGCGUAGAUAUCAGGAGGAACACCGGUGGCGAAGGCGGCAUCCGUGGACCAACACUGACACUGAGGAGCGAAAGCCAGGGAGCAAACGGG
rnacentral:rRNA from 1 species